CGGGUGAGUAACACGUGGAUAACCUACCUAUAAGACUGGGAUAACUUCGGGAAACCGGAGCUAAUACCGGAUAAUAUAUUGAACCGCAUGGUUCAAUAGUGAAAGACGGUCUUGCUGUCACUUAUAGAUGGAUCCGCGCCGCAUUAGCUAGUUGGUAAGGUAACGGCUUACCAAGGCAACGAUGCGUAGCCGACCUGAGAGGGUGAUCGGCCACACUGGAACUGAGACACGGUCCAGACUCCUACGGGAGGCAGCAGCC
rnacentral:rRNA from 1 species